rnacentral:rRNA from 1 species
GGUACCGUCAGGCCUAACGUGUAUUAUACGUUAGGAGGUUCUUCCCCUCUGACAGAGCUUUACGACCCAAGAGCCUUCGUCACUCACGCGGUAUUGCUGCGUCAGGCUUUCGCCCAUUGCGCAAAAUUCCCCA